rnacentral:rRNA from 1 species
AUGAUUGUUGCUUCACGAAACACCUUUUCAAUCUCAGAAGACCGGCAUUGCUCAUGUCAGACCUGCACAAAGGUUAUAGAUGUCUCAGAUCAUAUUGAAUUCACUGCCAGUUUAAUUCUCAAAAUUUGGUCUCAACAAAUAGAAAAGGUAAGUAAGUAUAGCAGGCCAACCAGUGUCUCCCGGAACACCUUCAACACUGCAGGACGGCAGAAAAACAACCGAGGCGAAACAGCACACAGGUGUCGCGCACAAAGCCAUGAACACAUAACCCAACAGGCACUCACCAUAGGCAAACUUCUUGACCUACUUGGUGGUGCAGCUGAUGCCUUGAGCUCUAUAAUGGUAGUGCAUAAAUGUAGAGAUACAAAUGUUAGGCAUAAAUUGGUUGGUCUUUCAUCUAUCAACAACUGA